rnacentral:lncRNA from 1 species
AUGACACGUAGAGAGAUGGGGUUCUUGAAGACACACACAGGUACACAAUUCAACACACAGCUGUGCCUAAAAAUACACAAGGAUGCCAGACACCGAGGGUCACAGGUAGCUGCUAAACGAAUCCUGCACACACACAAAGGCUCAUCCAGGCACCCCUGGGGCCGUGGGCCCCACACACCCUUAAGAACAUACAGACAAACAGGCACAAAGACAGCAGACACGGUCACACCCCGGAACACGGAUCUACGGAGGCCCCGGCACACUCAGUUACACCGUGGCGGUCACCCUCAGAGCCACAUACAUACAGGAUUAAGGAGGCAAAUGAGCACAGGCAAAUACCCUCAAGGACAACCAGAGACAGAGACACCUCCGGCACACCGAGGGACACGCCCAGGCACAGGCCGAGCCUCCUCAGCAUUUCUCCAGUUCUGGCUUGACCUACGGUGGGGGGAGGCAUCAGUUACCGUCACUCCAGUUCUGCCCUGGUCCAACUGGUUUGGCUGUCCCAGAGGGUGUUGGAGUCCUUGUGGUGAACAGACAGACUAACAAGCAGACAGACAUAUUACUUGGGAACAACAACAAAAAAGCAAAAGCCAGAGGUCAUUGUCAUAUCUUGAAGAACUAGGAGGGAGAAAGAGCUGAAUGGGCCAUGGGAAGGCUAGGCUAGGACUGACUGGCCCACAGGCCAGACACAGCUAGGGGAAGCAGCAGAUGUGGGUUCCAGGCCUGACACUGCUGUGUUACCUUGGAUGGGUUGCUGCCUGUUUCUGGGUCUCUCUUCUGCUUCUAACAAAGAGGGAGUUGCCGUUGGUGAUUCUGAAGCAGUGAGAUUCUCAAAGAUACUGCAGCAGUUGUAUAAACAGGGAAGGGUCCUGGGAGCCUUGGGAGUCUGAUUAGAAUAAUAAGAGCCCCCUCCCCUCCUCGGAGACUCCCCCCCAAGCCUCCUCCCCCGCCUCUAGACCUGGGCUCUACUCUGGAUUGAAGCACCCGAGGCCAGCAGCACCCCCUGCCCCCCAAUACACACAAACACAUGUGCUCCCGCAAACCUCAGCCAGGUCUUUUGCCCUCUCUGGACCUUAGGCGUCCAUGCUUGUGUAUUUAGGGGCUCACAUUUGGGCUCUGUGCCGGUGAGCCAGUCUAUGUGUGCACUGUCUGUCUGUCUGUCCGGCUGCCAGCAGCCUUCAGGCGCCAGGAGGGGAGGCAGCAGUCGGGGGAGGUGGGGGCGGGGAAGGAGGUAGCGUUGACAAGUUCCAAUGUCUGGCUUUCCCUCCUGGAAACCCCAAGCUGGGGCUGGCCCCCCCUCCUCUUCCUGUCUCUCUCGCUCAAGCACGUCCCUUCUAAGAGCCCCUCUCUGCAGACACCCCCAGUGGAACCAAGCCCAGAUUUGCUGCCAAGAAGGCCGACAUUUCUUAGACUUGCCACGUUAAAGGGGCCUGCACAGGCACGCACUCAAAUCCCCCUCCAUGUCCUCCUCCUGUGCACAUUCAGACGACCCGAGACACACAAAGACACGGUUGGACACAGCGGCCACCUGUGCACACAGGAGGUAGCACAUGGAGCGCAUCUGACCUCAGGCUCACAGACAAGUACAAACACAGCCGUGUACCGCCCCCCCCCCCCACACACUCAGCUCACCACAGACUCCAAAGCACGCAGUUUCCAGCACGCGGUGCUCACAGACACGCACAAACACAGUCACACGCAGGGCCUUGCCGCGCAGAGGAACAAGUGCAAACCCGUAGCAUGUUGUCUCCCUGCACAAGCACAGCCAUCGCCACCACCAGGGCUGCUGCUGCCCGGUACAGACACAACCCCAGGAACACGACCCGUGCCGCCUGUUCCUGGUACGCACAGCCGAGCCCAGUCACACAGAGCGAUCCCCUGCAUCACCAGAGAGAAGAGUCCGCCGGGCACAGAGACACCCUGUGCCCACGCCCUGGACUUUUGGACCAGUCCACACUGUUACACAGCGUCUUCCUGGGCACGGAGACCUGCCUGAAGUCCCACUGCACGCAGGGCUCCCCUGUGCAUGCACAAUCACUGUCCCUGGGGCACACGCAGAUGAGCUCCAGCUCACACACAGUUACAUCGUUAGCCUCUUGUACACAAUAACAAGUUCACAGGGGCCCCAAUGCACCUGGACGUGGGGCGAGUACGCAAACUCAGACACACAUGCGAAGCCUUUUAUGCACACAUGGAGUCCUCGUCACUCACAGUGUCCUUCCAUGUGCACCCACUGCUACAUGCAGCGUCUCUCUGAACGCAGGCAUGUGUUCGAUCUCAGUGCACACAGCUUUCCCUUGUGCUUACACAAACACUCAGUGUCCUUCGUGUAUCACAAACCAACACACACACACACACACAGCAUCGCCUGUGCAUGCUGAGACAAACACUGACUCACCAAUCAGCUCUUCCCUGCACACACAAGUGCACGCUCGCACAGAUAAGACAACACACCCAACAGCCCCUAGCCCCCAGCCCCAGCCUCCCGCCUCUCUUUCUUGUCUGAUGAGGGUGAGGAAGGACUGGGAAGGUUGAGGCUGGCUUGGCUCUUGUUCCCUCCCUCCACUGGCUGGCUCGCUCCCUCCUGUCUGGCAGAGUCAGCCAGCCCAGCCCGGCUCCGGCAGCCCUGGCUGUUCUGGGCAAACUCUCGGCGGGUUGGUCUCGGCUGAUGCCGCAGCAGCAGCAGCAGCAGCAGCAGGGGCGAGAAGGCUGCGGGCGGCUGCCAACGUGGCAGACGGCGGGCAGGGCGGCAGGAAGGAAGCUGGGCCCAUUCUGCGCCCACUCACUGGGGGAGACAAAACCAAAGGGGGCUGGAUGAGCAAGCGAGGCAGCUGGGCAGGGGGACUUCAUGCCCAGCCUGGGCUCUGAGCCUGCAUUGGCCCCAGACUCACUGGGUGACCUUGUGGAACUUGCUCCCCCUCUCUGAUCCUGUUUCCUCCUCCUUCAGCAAGUGAACAGUCUGGUCUAGAUGCUUCUUUCAGCUCCCAAACCUUGUAUCCAAUUCGGUGCAGAACUCAUGGGAGGGUUCACUCUGUGGCCUCGGGCUAGUCCCCUUUCAGGGACAGCUUUUCAGUCCAGCAGUUAAAAAUGCCUCACUCUGUACUGCUGUCACCAUUGGCAAUAGGUUUUCCUUCUACAAAGGUAGCACCAUUUUACAGAUAAGAAAACUAAGGCUCAGAGAUGCACCGGAGGUUGCCCAGUCAGUGAGUGCGGCAGAACUGGGACAGCAGCUCGGGGCUUCUGAUUGAGUCUCUAAAAUCAAUGUUGCCUCAUUCAUCUUCCAGACAUCCCACCCCCCACGGGUACCUCCGGCUGCCCCUCGGAGGCCUCCCCACCCCCUGGGCCCUGGCCCCUCCCUCCCCAGAGCCACCUGGUUCUGCCCUGGGGAGUCAGGGUGCAAAGGCCAGACAGGCCUCCCACCAGCAUUCCAGCUGCCACUGGGAACACAGCUGUCAGCAGGGCCAAGAGAGCCAAAAGCCACCUCCCAAGCAGGCCCACAUAAUUGGUACAUUGUCAACUCAAAAACAGAGCUGCUGUGGGAUCUUGGGCAAGCCACAGUCCUCUCUGGGCUUUGGUUUCUUCAUCUGACUGCAGUGGAUUAGACGAGAUGCUUUCCAAGGGGCCUCUCAGCUUGGAAUGUUGCCUCGGGAGUGACUGAGGAGAAACAAGGCUGGGGGGGAGGCAGCUGUCCCAAGGUGUGGGCGAUGGGUGUGCCUCAGGUGUCAGAACCCAGGAAUCUGGCCUUUGUAUCACCUGUUCGCUGGGGUCACAUCUGGGCCUUCUCACACAUCUCUGCAGGAUGGCUGGGUGGACGGACAGAUGGACAAACAAAGGUAUGCAGGAGAGAGGCAAAGGAGGCCCUUAAGCAGUGCUCUGGGGCUGAGCACCCCCUGCGGAGGAAAGAGGACAAAAGGCAGAGGGAGCCUUCCCCCCCCACCUCCUUUGUAGACCAACCUCUCCAGCAGCAUACUCUGCCCUGCCCUGCCCCACAGGGUGGUCUGCUGGGAGGACAAAGGUGGGACAGACAGUGACAGGGUGUGUGUGUGUGUGUGUGUGUGUAAAUGCUGUGAGAUCAGUCCUGGGGACUAUGGAGGAGACACCCAGCUCAGCUGUGAGAGUGAAGAAAGACCUCUACUCCCAGAGGCCCAGAGUCACAAUAUUGAGCUCAGGCUCCUAGGAUAGAUCAGAGUAAGCCGGGAGAAGUGGGCAUGUUCAAAUGUGUGCCUAUAUGGGUGCAGUUACUAUCCCAUUUUACAGAUAGGGAGAUCGAUGCUCAGACGUGGCGAGACAGAAUCAGGCCUUAUAUCCAGGGCUGUCUGACUGCAAAGCCAGUGUUUUUUGUGCUAGGCCACAGGCCACGCUGCCUCCCAAAGGAGAGAAUUGCUAAUGGUGGCAUUUCAGAUUUCAGAUGUAGUGACAGCAAACUAGGGAAGAGGUUCUGGACAGAUGGUUCCCAAUCAGGUCCCUGCCUCGGGCUAGCAGAGCAGAGGUUUGUCAGGGCAGGCAGAGCGCCCUCCCCUCCAUUCCUCUCGUGUGUGGGAUGCAGGCAGGUUCCCCCCAACACACUCUCCUCACCAUCCCCCUCCAGCCCUUUGGCCCUGCCUGGGUGACCUGCAUGAGCUCAGCUUCCCAGCAGCCCUGCGGAGGAGUCAGCCAGGGC